UUGCCAGCCCGCUCAAGAAACUCAAAGGAAUUGACGGGGCCCGGCACAAGCGGUGGAGUAUGUGGUUUAAUUCGAUGCAACGCGAAGAACCUUACCUGGUCUUGACAUCCCGGAGACCCUUAGGAAACUAGGGGGUGCUUCCAUCUGGAAGAAUCUGGAGACAGGUGCUGCAUGGCUGUCGUCAGCUCGUGUCGUGAGAUGUUGGGUUAAGUCCCGCAACGAGCGCAACCCUUGCCUUUAGUUGCCAGCAGUUCGGCUGGGCACUCUAAAGGGACUGCCGGUGUUAAACCGGAGGAAGGUGGGGAUGACGUCAAGUCCUCAUGGCCUUUAUGACCAGGGCUACACACGUACUACAAUGGCCGAUACAAAGGGCAGCGACACUGCGAGGUGAAGCCAAUCCCGUAAAAUCGGUCUCAGUCCGGAUUGGAGUCUGCAACUCGACUCCAUGAAGUUGGAAUCGCUAGUAAUCGUGGAUCAGCAUGCCACGGUGAAUACGUUCCCGGGCCUU
rnacentral:rRNA from 1 species